rnacentral:lncRNA from 1 species
GGGAUCUUUUCCCCAAAUAUUUUGGGUUUCUGUUUUUUCUCUUCCCACACUGUUUUAGGAGCAGAAUCCUGAAUUUUCCACCCCUUUUUUUUGCCCAUUUUGUCCCCAAAAUUCCCCAAUAAAAUCAGCACCCGCUCCCUCUUUUCUGGGCCAUUUUUGGGGGGAAUUUUUUGGGAAUUUCUUGGGAAUUUUGGGAUCUUUUCCCCAAAUAUUUUGGAUUUCCUCUCCUCCUCUUCCCACGUUAUUUUGGGAGCAGAAUCCCGAAUUUUCCACCCCUUUUUUUUACCUUUUUCUUCCCGUUUUUCCCCCAAUAACAGCACCGACACCUCCCUUGUUUCUGGGCCGUUUUCUGGGGGGAAUUUUGCAGGAAAUUCUCUGGAAUUUCUUGGGAAUUCUGGGAUCUUCCCACAUUUUAUUUUCGGAACAGAAUCUUGACUUUUCCACCUCUUUUUUUUAACCUUUUUUUCCCCCAAUAACAACACUGACACCUCCGCCAUUUCGGGGCUGGUUUUUUGGGAAUUUCACUGGAAUUUCUUGGGAAUUCUGGGAUCUUCCCACACUGAUUUUGGGAGCAGAAUCUUGAAUUUUCCACCCCUUUUUUUUAACCUUUUUCUUCGCAUUUUUUCCCCCAAUAACAGCACCGACACCUCCACCAUUUCUGGGCCCUUUUUUUUGGGAAUUUCACUGGAAUUUUGUGUUCUCAUCCCAGAGUUCUGGAGUUCCCACCCUCCCUUCUCUUUCUGUGCUUUGGGACCUCAGAAUUCUGAAUUUUCCACCCCCUUUUUCCCCAUUUUUCCCAUUCUCUCCCAGUAAAAACACAACACCUCCCUCGUUUCUGGGCCAUUUUUUGGGGGGAAUUUCUUGGGAAUUUCUCUGGAAUUUCGGGAUCUUCCCACACUGAUUUUGGAAGAGAAUCCUGAAUUUUCGGUGCCUUUUUUGUCCGUUUUCCCACCAUUUUUCCCCAUUUUCCCCCAAUAACAACACCGACACCUCCCUCGUUUCUGGGCCAUUUUUUCGGGAUUUUCACAGGAAUUUCACUGAAAUUUCCCCGGAAUUUGUUCCGGAAGUUUCUGUCUCAGAGCCGGAACACAUAGCUGUCGCUGUGGGUCAGGUUUGUUCCGGAAGGUUCCAGAAGGUUCUGUCUCUCUCACAAUCGCAGCACGUAGGAAUCACUGUGGGUCAGGUUUGUUCCAGAAGGUUCCAGAAUGUUCUCUCUCUCUCACAAUUGCAGCACGUAGCUGUCACUGUGGGUGAGGUAGCGCACCCAGCGCUUCUGGAAGGUUCCGGAACGUUCUGUCUC